GACGAACGCUGGCGGCGUGCCUAAUACAUGCAAGUCGGGCGGACGGAUGGGAGCUUGCUCCCAGACCGUCAGCGGCGGACGGGUGAGUAACACGUGGGCAACCUGCCUGUAAGACUGGGAUAACUCCGGGAAACCGGGGCUAAUACCGGAUAACUCUUUCCCUCACAUGAGGGAAAGCUGAAAGAUGGCAUCUCGCUAUCACUUACAGAUGGGCCCGCGGCGCAUUAGCUAGUUGGUGAGGUAACGGCUCACCAAGGCGACGAUGCGUAGCCGACCUGAGAGGGUGAUCGGCCACACUGGGACUGAGACACGGCCCAGACUCCUACGGGAGGCAGCAGUAGGGAAUCUUCCGCAAUGGACGAAAGUCUGACGGAGCAACGCCGCGUGAGUGAUGAAGGUUUUCGGAUCGUAAAACUCUGUUGUCAGGGAAGAACAAGUACCGGAGUAACUGCCGGUACCUUGACGGUACCUGACCAGAAAGCCACGGCUAACUACGUG
rnacentral:rRNA from 1 species